rnacentral:rRNA from 1 species
AUUGAACGCUGGCGGCAUGCUUUACACAUGCAAGUCGAACGGCAGCAUGGGCUUCGGCCUGAUGGCGAGUGGCGAACGGGUGAGUAAUAUAUCGGAACGUACCCAAGAGUGGGGGAUAACGUAGCGAAAGUUACGCUAAUACCGCAUACGACCCAAGGAUGAAAGUGGGGGACCUUCGGGCCUCAUGCUCCUGGAGCGGCCGAUAUCUGAUUAGCUAGUUGGUAGGGUAAAGGCCUACCAAGGCAUCGAUCAGUAGCUGGUCUGAGAGGACGACCAGCCACACUGGAACUGAGACACGGUCCAGACUCCUACGGGAGGCAGCAGUGGGGAAUUUUGGACAAUGGGGGCAACCCUGAUCCAGCAAUGCCGCGUGAGUGAAGAAGGCCUUCGGGUUGUAAAGCUCUUUUGUCAGGGAAGAAACGGUUGUGGCUAAUAUCCAUGGCUAAUGACGGUACCUGAAGAAUAAGCACCGGCUAACUACGUGCCAGCAGCCGCAGUAACAC